rnacentral:rRNA from 1 species
GACGAACGCUGGCGGCGUGCCUAAUACAUGCAAGUCGGACGCAGUUGCGAACGGGUGAGUAACGCGUAGGUAACUACCUAUUAGAGGGGGAUAACUAUUGGAAACGAUAGCUAAUACCGCAUACUAGUAGAUGGACCUGCGUUGUAUUAGCUAGUAGGUGGGGUAAUGGCCUACCUAGGCAACGGUACAUAGCCGACCCGGGGAGGGGGACUGCCAAACUGGGACUGGGGCACCGCCCCGGAUCCUACGGGGAGGCAGAGGUGGGGAUCUUUGGCAAAGGGGGGAAAGCGUACCGAGCAAAGGCGGGUGAGUGGAGAAGGGUUUCGGGUUGUAAAGCUCUGUUGUUAAGGGAGCGGUACUUAACCAGAAAGGGACGGCUAACUACGUGCCAGCAGCCGCGGUAAUAC